rnacentral:misc_RNA from 1 species
GUGAAUCAUCAAAUCUUUGAACGCAAAUUGCACUUUCUGGUAUUCCGGAAAGUAUGCCUGUUUGAGGAUCAGUUAAAUAAAAAUCUGUGUUAUUGCUGCCUGUCAUGGUUACUCUGCGAAAUUAGAUCGUCUUACCUUCGGUUAAGUGACUUAAAAUUUUUUCAUGUUUUUCUAACUUAUUUAAAUCAC